rnacentral:rRNA from 1 species
AGAAUCAACGCUGGCGGCGUGCCUAACACAUGCAAGUCGAACGAGAAAGUGGAGCAAUCCAUGAGUAAAGUGGCGCACGGGUGAGUAACACGUGACUAACCUACCUUUUAGUGGGGGAUAACCUAGGGAAACCUGGGCUAAUACCGCAUAAUACCUACGGGUCAAAGCAGCAAUGCGCUGAAAGAGGGGGGUCGCGGUCGAUUAGUUAGUUGGCAGGGUAAUGGCCUACCAAGACUGUGAUCGAUA